GAUGAACGCUAGCGGGAGGCUUAACACAUGCAAGUCGAGGGGCAGCACGAGGUAGCAAUACUUUGGUGGCGACCGGCGCACGGGUGAGUAACGCGUAUGCAACCUACCCUGUACAGGGGGAUAGCCCGGAGAAAUUCGGAUUAAUACCCCAUAAUAAUAUCAGAUGGCAUCGUUUGAUAUUUAAAGCUUCGGCGGUACGGGAUGGGCAUGCGUAACAUUAGCUAGUUGGUAGGGUAACGGCCUACCAAGGCUACGAUGUUUAGGGGUCCUGAGAGGGUGAUCCCCCACACUGGUACUGAGACACGGACCAGACUCCUACGGGAGGCAGCAGUGAGGAAUAUUGGUCAAUGGGCGCAAGCCUGAACCAGCCAUCCCGCGUGAAGGAAGACGGCGCUAUGCGUUGUAAACUUCUUUUCCAGGGGAAUAAAAUUUUGUACGUGUACGAAAUUGAAGGUACCCUGGGAAUAAGCAUCGGCUAACUCCGUGCCAGCAGCCGCGGU
rnacentral:rRNA from 1 species